CACAUGCAAGUCGAGGGGCAGCAUGGUCUUAGCUUGCUAAGACUGAUGGCGACCGGCGCACGGGUGAGUAACACGUAUCCAACCUGCCGUCUACUCUUGGACAGCCUUCUGAAAGGAAGAUUAAUACAAGAUGGCAUCAUGAGUCCGCAUGUUCACAUGAUUAAAGGUAUUCCGGUAGACGAUGGGGAUGCGUUCCAUUAGAUAGUAGGCGGGGUAACGGCCCACCUAGUCUUCGAUGGAUAGGGGUUCUGAGAGGAAGGUCCCCCACAUUGGAACUGAGACACGGUCCAAACUCCUACGGGAGGCAGCAGUGAGGAAUAUUGGUCAAUGGGCGAGAGCCUGAACCAGCCAAGUAGCGUGAAGGAUGACUGCCCUAUGGGUUGUAAACUUCUUUUAUAAAGGAAUAAAGUCGGGUAUGCAUACCCGUUUGCAUGUACUUUAUGAAUAAGGAUCGGCUAACUCCGUGCCAGCAGCCGCGGUAAUACGGAGGAUCCGAGCGUUAUCCGGAUUUAUUGGGUUUAAAGGGAGCGUAGAUGGAUGUUUAAGUCAGUUGUGAAAGUUUGCGGCUCAACCGUAAAAUUGCAGUUGAUACUGGAUAUCUUGAGUGCAGUUGAGGCAGGCGGAAUUCGUGGUGUAGCGGUGAAAUGCUUAGAUAUCACGAAGAACUCCGAUUGCGAAGGCAGCCUGCUAAGCUGCAACUGACAUUGAGGCUCGAAAGUGUGGGUAUCAAACAGGAUUAGAUACCCUGGUAGUCCACACGGUAAACGAUGAAUACUCGCUGUUUGCGAUAUACUGCAAGCGGCCAAGCGAAAGCGUUAAGUAUUCCACCUGGGGAGUACGCCGGCAACGGUGAAACUCAAAGGAAUUGACGGGGGCCCGCACAAGCGGAGGAACAUGUGGUUUAAUUCGAUGAUACGCGAGGAACCUUACCCGGGCUUAAAUUGCAGAUGAAUUACGGUGAAAGCCGUAAGCCGCAAGGCAUCUGUGAAGGUGCUGCAUGGUUGUCGUCAGCUCGUGCCGUGAAGUGUCGGCUUAAGUGCCAUAACGAGCGCAACCCUUGUUGUCAGUUACUAACAGGUUCCGCUGAGGACUCUGACAAGACUGCCAUCGUAAGAUGUGAGGAAGGUGGGGAUGACGUCAAAUCAGCACGGCCCUUACGUCCGGGGCUACACACGUGUUACAAUGGGGGGUACAGAGGGCCGCUACCACGCGAGUGGAUGCCAAUCCCCAAAACCUCUCUCAGUUCGGACUGGAGUCUGCAACCCGACUCCACGAAGCUGGAUUCGCUAGUAAUCGCGCAUCAGCCACGGCGCGGUGAAUACGUUCCCGGGCCUUGUACACACCGCCCGUCAAGCUAUGGGAGCCGGGGGUACCUGAAGUGCGUAACCGCGAGGAGCGCCCUAGGGUAAAACUGGUGACUGGGGCUAAGUCG
rnacentral:rRNA from 1 species